rnacentral:rRNA from 1 species
AUAAAUGAUUAUAAAAAAAAGCACCGGUUCUUGUCCGAUCACCGAAGUUAAGUCACGUUAGGCGCGGUUAGUACUUGAAUGGGUGACCGCUUGGGAACCCCGCGUGCCGUUGGUA